rnacentral:tRNA from 1 species
GAGCAAGCAUGGUGUAGUGGUUAGAGCACUAGACUACAAUUUUGGAGACCAGGGUUUGAAUCUCCACUUGCCCA